AAUUAAUUUAAAGCGCUAGAGGUUAAGAAUAUUUGAUUAGUUCAGUAAGUUUGAAGAACUAGAUCAAGGGAAUUAGAUUUCCACUUAACCUGACGAGGAUGGGGAGUAUCGAAGAUUUCAGCGGGUGCCCCACGGUAUAAAUACUACCGUUAAAGACUAGCAAAACUGGAAAGCGAUUUUCAGCACAAAUCUAGUCGGGUAUUUAGA
rnacentral:ncRNA from 2 species